UGGGGAAUUUUGGACAAUGGGGGAAACCCUGAUCCAGCCAUCCCGCGUGUGCGAUGAAGGCCUUCGGGUUGUAAAGCACUUUUGGCAGGAAAGAAACGUCAUGGGUUAAUACCCCGUGAAACUGACGGUACCUGCAGAAUAAGCACCGGCUAACUACGUGCCAGCAGCCGCGGUAAUACGUAGGGUGCAAGCGUUAAUCGGAAUUACUGGGCGUAAAGCGUGCGCAGGCGGUUCGGAAAGAAAGAUGUGAAAUCCCAGAGCUCAACUUUGGAACUGCAUUUUUAACUACCGGGCUAGAGUGUGUCAGAGGGAGGUGGAAUUCCGCGGGUAGCAGUGAAAUGCGUAGAUAUGCGGAGGAACACCGAUGGCGAAGGCAGCCUCCUGGGAUAACACUGACGCUCAUGCACGAAAGCGUGGGGAGCAAACAGG
rnacentral:rRNA from 1 species